UGGGGAAUUUUGGACAAUGGGCGAAAGCCUGAUCCAGCAAUGCCGCGUGUGUGAAGAAGGCCUUCGGGUUGUAAAGCACUUUUGUCCGGAAAGAAAUCCUUGGCUCUAAUACAGUCGGGGGAUGACGGUACCGGAAGAAUAAGCACCGGCUAACUACGUGCCAGCAGCCGCGGUAAUACGUAGGGUGCAAGCGUUAAUCGGAAUUACUGGGCGUAAAGCGUGCGCAGGCGGUUUGCUAAGACCGAUGUGAAAUCCCCGGGCUCAACCUGGGAACUGCAUUGGUGACUGGCAGGCUAGAGUAUGGCAGAGGGGGGUAGAAUUCCACGUGUAGCAGUGAAAUGCGUAGAGAUGUGGAGGAAUACCGAUGGCGAAGGCAGCCCCCUGGGCCAAUACUGACGCUCAUGCACGAAAGCGUGGGGAGCAAACAGGAUUAGAUACCCUGGUAGUCCACGCCCUAAACGAUGUCAACUAGUUGUUGGGGGAUUCAUUUCCUUAGUAACGUAGCUAACGCGU
rnacentral:rRNA from 1 species